rnacentral:piRNA from 1 species
GGCCAGGAAGUCCACCACAGACAGGUAUC